GGACAGUCCGGCAGCAGCGGAGGAUCUCUCGCGACCACAGGGACCUCAGAUACAUUUCUAAUGGAAACAUAAUUAAUCUGGAGUCAAACAGCCUCCUGUUCUUCGUGUCGGAGUUUUCUUUGAAACCAGUGGAGUGGGUAGCAACCAGGCCUUGCUGAAGAGAGGCGCCUGGCCUACAGGGGGGUAACGGUCGAGAUGAAGGAUUAGAGGAUAAUCCAGGAUGGUUCCGUGGUGCGACCGCAGAACCGUUUGCAGCUGGACUCAGACCUAUUUCUGAGCUGAUGUCGACAAAGCCAAAGCCCAAGGCGAGCGGGGGAAACCAGGCGACCUGACCACACUCCAACCGGCUGUUUCCAGGAACACAACUGCACAGUGUUCUCCUCGAUUUAUGGCAGUUUAAUUCAGCCAGCUAUGCAUAACAACGAGCUACAAAGAGUGGGACAGAGUUUGGCCUGCACAUGAUAAACAGAGAUAAUAUUGCGGGAAACUAUUUGGCGCUGCAGGCUGAGAGUUCAGAAAUUACACGGUUUCAAGAUCUUGGAGUA